AUUGAACGCUGGCGGCAGGCCUAACACAUGCAAGUCGAACGAGUGGCGGACGGGUGAGUAAUGUCUGGGAAACUGCCUGAUGGAGGGGGAUAACUACUGGAAACGGUAGCUAAUACCGCAUACCAUCAGAUGUGCCCAGAUGGGAUUAGCUUGUUGGUGGGGUAAAGGCUCACCAAGGCGACGAUCCCUAGCUGGUCUGCGAGGAUGACCAGCCAGACUGGAACGGAGACACGGUCCAGACUCCUACGGGAGGCAGCAGUGGGGAAUAUUGCACAAUGGGCGCAAGCCUGAUGCAGCCAUGCCGCGGGUAUGAAGAAGGCCUUCGGGUUGUAAAGUACUUUCAGCGGGGAGGCGUUACCCGCAGAAGAAGCACCGGCUAACUCCGUGCCAGCAGCCGCGGUAAUAC
rnacentral:rRNA from 1 species